rnacentral:misc_RNA from 1 species
GUAUGUAUCCCAACGGGAUGCCCACUUGAUUUCGCUGGGCUGGAAGGUAACAUCGUAACUAAACACAACCACUUUAUUGGCAGUAACUUCCUGUGGAGGAUGGGCACCAGGAGCUAUUUUGGUGUUCACAUUACAAGUUGUUACUUUAAGAUUCUUAUCAUCCCCAUCAUAAUCAUGACGUAUGCUGCUUGGGAUGACCUCAAAACCAACUAUACGAGCAUCCUCCGUCUCAAGGUCCUUAUGAUACAUGACUUUGAAGCUCAGAUGGUUGUUUAUGUAAUAUUGGUCAUCUUUACCGCCUUGGGGAUCCUUGUACCCAAC